ACAUUGAGGGGAGAGUGGGGAUAGGGGGCAAAUCCACAGAAGGAACAAGUAAACAAAGGCACAGAAAUCAGGAUGUGUAACAUUUAUUGGGAUAGAGCAAACAUCUGUUUCCACCCCAUUUUAUUCCAAAAAAAAAAAGGAAUUUGAGCAGUGAGGGAUCAACUGCACCUGGGACAAAAAUUAUUAAAGUGAUUCAUGGGAAAUUCAUAAAAUUCAUUAAGGAGAGUAGGGUGAUUAUGAAGAAUGGAUUUAUAUCCGCUCCUCCUCUUAUGAGGAAAGAAUUGGAAUUUAAUUCUGUAGGGAAUAAGGAAUCAUGCACGGGUUUGGAACAAGAAGAGAAAGAAGCCAACAGAGUGGUGGUGUAGGAAGGUAACCCCGGCUGCGGUAUAUAAAAUGGAUUGGUGUGGUACAUCUAAAAGAGAGCAGGGCAUUUGAGAGAUGAAUCAGAAUGUCUGCACCAAACUUCAGAUGAGACGGACUGGAACCAGGGCUCCCACAGAGGGAGCAGGGUCAGGGAGAGAUAGGCAGGGUUGACUUUCCAGACCUUACCCAGACAGGUCCUGGUUCUUAUUGGAGAUAGGCUAAGAGGAAGACGUUUUGUUAGAGUCAAUGUUAGCCUGAGUAUUUCCUGCUUGGGUGACCAGAAGGACAGUGGAGCCAUUGACAGGGAACGCUUUGUCAGAUUUCAUCUAAAGCAGGUAUCGUUGCCGCAAAUGACUCAGCUGCCGAGGAACUAGCAUUCUGACCAUCUAGCCAAGGGCAAUGGAUAAACCCAUGGGAUAAACAUGGCACUGCAUACAGUUUGGGUAAAUUGCCCACAUUUACUUUGUGCUUUCUCCUUUGUACACAACUUGUACAGUUGUCUGGUUUUUUCCUUCGCAGCUAUCUCGUGACAAAGAUACUCUGAUUUCCACUAUACAGGCAAGGAAACUGAGGCUGAGGCAGGUUAAGGGGCAGGUCUAAGUCACACUUCUAGUGAAGACUCAAGCCUGUCCGCUGCCUUCAAGCUUUGCUCUCUUCCCCCUGUCACCCAAAUGCAGGAUUAGCACUUUUUUUUUCCUGAGGCAGAUUAAGGAUAAGUCUAUGUAUAUACAUAUGUGUGUAUGUGUGUAUUUAAAGGAUAAGGCAACUUAACUGAAAUUGGCAAUGGAGACCAGAGAACAGUGAGAGAGAGAAAUUCAGAGUGAAAAACUCAGGGCUGAGAAAUUUCCUUCCUGGGUUACAACUUGGAGGAACCAUCUGCUCUGCUUAAGCCUCUGCCAAAUUUGCUCUGCGACACCCCCUCCCGCCCCUUCCCUUUUCAGGCAACUCCAAGACUCCCCGAAGAGGAAGAAAGCAGAGGAAAAGCUGCUGGCGAUCAGUGGGAAUUUUGUGUCUCCACUUCUGCCUUUCCCCCUCCUUUCCUCUGCCUCUUCUUUGCUGCUGACUUCCAGAGGCUGGCUCCGAGGAAUUGACAAGUUGAGGGGGGAGAAGCCCAAAGCCAGAAGAAAGGGCUCUUACCCUAUUAGCUUGGAGGGGCGCAGAGACACCAGCAGAGGGCGCUGCGGCCGUGUUGGUGGGAGCGGCACAGCUCGCGCCCUCUCCGAGGCUCUGUGAACUUGAGAAGUAUUUUGCUAGACUGAAUAGACAGUUGCUUAUGCGGUGCGGGCUGCGCUGUAGGGAGACCUAAGAGAAGCUACUAGACAAACUAGUGGUUAAAAGCACAGCCGCUGAAGCUAGACCUUCUGGGUUCAGUUUCAGCUUUGCUAUUUUUCAGCUGUGGGACCCUGAACACCUUAGCCUUGGCUGUGUAUGGGCUGAAUGUUUGUGUCCUCCCACAUUCAAGCGUUGAGAUCCUAAUGCCACCGCAAUGGUGUUAGGAGAUAGGGCCUUCGGAAGGCGAUCGGGUCAUGGGGGUUUAACCCUUAUGAAUGGGAUCAGUAUUCUGAUAAAAGAUCCCAGAGAGAGAUCCCUCCCUCUUUGCACGAUGUGGUAACACGGCAAGAUGGCACAGGCUAUGAGCCAGGAAGAGAGCUCCCACCAGAACAUGACCCUGCUUUGCUCUUGGGCUUCUAUCCCCCGGAAUUGUGAGAAAUAAAUUGGGUUUAAGCCACCCGGCCUAUGGUGUAUUGUUAUAGCAGCCUUGACAGGACAAAGAUGCCUUUCUGUGCCUGCUUUCCCAUCUUUUUUUUUUUUUUUUUUUAAGCUUAUUUAUUUCUUCUGAGAGAGACAGAGACCGCGCAAGUGGGGGAGAAGCGAAGAGAGAGGGAGAGAGAGACAGUCCCAAGCAGGCUCUGUGCUGGCAGCACAGAGUCCAAGGCGGAGGCUCAAACCCAUGAAACUGUGGGAUCACGACCUGAGUUAAAACCAGAGUCGGAAGCUCAACUGACCGAGCCACCCAGGCGGCCCUGCCUUCUCAUCUCUAAAAAGAGGAGGACGAUAUUACCUAUCCCACAGGGAUGUCACGAGGAGCAAACUAGCUGGCACAUGUAGCACACCGAGCACAGGGCCUGGCACGGAAAAACCACUGUAAGGCUUCUCCCCUGUGAUCUUGACAGAGGCCCCGGCCCGUCUCUGACACCACGUGACUUGUCACCCUGGGAGACUGCUUCUCUAGGUUAAACGUCUCCUGUUUGGGGCAUCAGCUGUCAGACCGGUCAGCAAUCUGGGAAAAGAGCAGAGCAGUGAGGUUGUCCAGCAAAUGCUGCAGCCACUUUUCUCGUGGUGAUGAGUGGAGACAAAAGGCACAGGAAGCAGGCUUCAGGGCCACGGUGUGAUAAAGGCUGGGUCCUCCCUGUAACAAGACAUCCGGUGGUCCAUGCCAGCUGUCUGGGAUGCACAAUCUGUGGAUUUAAAUGAAGAGAAGAAAUCUGCCAGCACAAUGGCAAUUUUUGCCUUGUGCAGCAAAUACAUCUGGGGAGAAAAUCUACUAUAGCCCAUUAUCUCCUCUCUCGGAGUGCCAUUUGAAAUGUUACUGUCUUGUAAAGUGUAGACAUUUGCAUUUGGUGGCAGCUCCAGACACCGAGUUGUAUGGGAAAUGACUUUCUUUCCAACCCCACAUAUCCAGAACCUCAAUUUUGAUUUCCCCUUGGAGAGCUCUGGGUUUAUGGGGGAAGAUCACCAUUGAAGGGAAGCUAUCUAGUGGUAGCUGUCUAGUUCUAUGAUCCGGAUAAUGAGACUAGGGAUCCAUAGCUCUGGUCACUGUGGAUCUUAUGGUCGUUUGCCGUCAGCCUACAUUUUGGUUGCAAAACCACUCUUAGCAGAAUCCUAAACUCAAGAUACUAUGGAUGCUUUUGAAGCCUGCGCCCCAGAGAUGCCCCAGUACCACCACCAAAAGCUCCUCAAGACGUUGCCUCUUGUCUACUUUAAAAAAUUGAGGUGUAAUUUACAUGCAUGAAAAUGUCCAGAUCUUAAGGGUUAGUUCAAUGAAGCGUGACAAUUAUGUACACACCACUGUCACCAUUACCCAAGACAACCUCCAGAACAUUUCCUUCACCCUCGAAAAGUUCUUUCUUGCCCCUUUCUAGUCAAUUCCCACCUUCCACCCUGCCUGCAAUCUACCCCAGAAGCAAUGAUUUUCUGAUUUUUAGUUACGAUAGAUGCUCUCCCAUUUUUUCUCCUAAAGUCUUUAUGGUUCUGGAUAUACACUUAAAUAUAGAAUCCAUGUGAAAUUAAAUUUUCUGUGUGGAUUUCAUUUACUGUUGUAUUUCUCUAUUGUUUGUCUCUUUUCUAUUUCAUCUGUUUCUUUUAUUUAUUUGUUCCCUUUUGUUUGCCUUGGGUUCAAUUUACUCUUGAUUUUCAAGGUUCUUAAGGUCAGAGCUAGAUUAUUGACUUUAUCCCUUUUUUGUGUGUGACUAUUGUCACUUAGAGAAUAAAUUUCUCUGUAAGUACUUACUGUGCCAGCCACAUACAACAAUUUUGAUGUAUCAGAUUUCUAUCAUCAUUCAGGUAAAAAGAUUUUCUAAUUUAUCUAUGAUUUCCUCUUUAACACAUGAGUUGUUCUGAAGUAUGUUGUUUAAUUUCUAAAACUGGGUAUUUUCUAAAUAUCUUGUUUUUACUGACAUCUAAUUUAAUACUAUUGUGGGAUGAUUUUCACUCUUAGAUAUUUAUGGAAACUUGUUUUGAAGUCCAGCAUAUGGUCCUGGUGAAAACAGCACAUGCACUUGAAGAGAAUGUUUUCUUAAGUUGUUGGGAGAAAUGUGGGGUGCCUGGGUGGCUCAGUCGGUUAAGCGUCCAACCUCAGCUCCAACUUCGGCUCAGGUCACGAUCUCACAGUUCGUGGGUUCGAGCCCCACACUGGGCUCUGUGCUGACAGCUCAGAGCCUGGAGCCCACUUCUGAUUCUAUGUCUCCCUCUCUCUCUGCCCCUCCGCCACAUGUGCUCUGUGUCUCUCUGUCUCAAAAAUAAAUAAAAAAACAUUUAAAAAAAAGAUAUUGGGAGAAAUGCCCUACAAUGAUUGGGUUUGACACCCUCCUCUGAGUCUCUCUUUUUCCUUGUGUUGUGGACAUUCUCCUCUUCUUACUUGAGACCUGAAUCCUCGUGCUGCAAACACAUUUGCCUAGGGAAGGUUGACUGUAGUCACAGAGUUGUAGCAGCUUGGUCUCUGAAGCUGUCGGCACUAGCUAAAUGCCCUCGGUGUUGCCGAGACCUGUGGAGCCCUACUUGAGGCCACCAAGGUGCAUCAUACCUCUUUGCCUAGCAGAGUGAUGUUCUAAGCGAACCAUGCACAUCCCCAUCUCCUUCAGGACCGGGGAAUUCAUUCCCCCAGCUGUUGGGAGGGUUGGAGGCUGGCAGAAGUCAGCUAGUGUCUUCUGGAAAUUGCUUUCAGCCAAAGAGCCAAUAGGACGAGACUUUAGAGUCUCUGAGUGGAACCAAUAUAAAUUCUAUAGAAAAUAAGAAAUAAAUAAAGCGGAAGGCAGAUGGGGCCCACAAUAUCACAUUUCUUUUAUUUCCAAACAGCUUUAUUGAGAUAUAAUUUACAAGCCAUAAAAUCCACUUGUUUUAAGUGUAUAAUUCAACUAUUUUAAAUAAAAUUAUGGGCUUGUGUAACCAUCACCCCAGUCCUGUUUUGGAACCAUUCUAUCACCCCCAGAAUACCUAUUGUGUCCUUUAGCAACCAGUCCUCAUUCUUACUCUUCAGCUCUAGGAACCUCGAAUUGACUUUCUGAUUCUAUAAAUUUGCCUUUUCAGGACAUCCUAUGAAUGGAGUCAUGCAAUAUAUGGUCUUUUGCAUCUGGCUUAUUUUACUUAGCAUCAUAUACUUUUGAGAUUCAUUUCUGUCGUGGCAUGUAUCAGUAUUUCAUUCUUUUUAGGUGCUGAAUACUAUUCCAUUGUAUGCGUAUACCACAUUUUGUUUAUUGAUAAACCAGUUGAUGAAUAAUUGGAGUUCUCCCACUUUUUGGGCUAUUACACACCACUCCUGGAUCACUUUAGGACAGUUAUACUCCUUAUGCCAUCUAUAGAGGUAAAUUUGGUAAAUGGAAGCAUACAAUAGUAUUUGAAGUCACAGGAUUAGAUGAAAUACAGAAAAGAGUAUAUUCAUGGAUAAAAGGAAAAGCUGCAGAACUGAAUCCUGGGACAGACGUAACAACACUUAGAGGUUGAACAGAAGAGGAGGGGCCAGCUAAGGAGACUGAACAGGAGGGGUGUGAAGCAGGAAGAAAAUUCGAAGGGUAUGCCACUAUGAAAGUCAAGUGUAGAAAGUGUUUCAAGAGGGGAAGUGUGGUCGGUUAUGCUGGAUAUUUCACAGGCAUCAAAUGCAAUGACAAAAAGAAUUGACCUUUGGUUUUGGCAACAUACAGUUCAUAAUUAACUUGGUAAGAGCAAUUUCUAUUAAGUUGUGUUGAAAGUCCUCCUGGAGUGUGUUGUACUGAAAAUCCAAUUGGAGCGCAUUGAGUCCAAAAGUAGUUAAGAGAAUGACUACAAAACAAUGGUACCACCACCACACACACACACACACACACACACACACACACACACACACACACCAAACAACAAACAGACAGACAGACAAACAGACAAACCCACCUGUUCAAGGAGUUGUGAAGAUCUCACUAAAAACAUGUUAAAGCCAGUGGGGUCAAGAGUUUGCUGUGGUGGUGGUUACACUGUUUCG